UACGAGUGCCCCGAGCGUUAUCCGGAAUUAUUGGGCGUAAAGGGUGUGUAGGCGGCUUUGUUAGUCUAAUGUUAAAGCUCUCGGCUUAACCGGGAAAGUGCAUGAGAUACGGCAAAACUAGAGGAUGCGAGAGGUAUGCGGAACUCAUAGUGUAGGGGUGAAAUCCGUUGAUAUUAUGGGGAACACCAAAAGCGAAGGCAGCAUACUGGCGCACUCCUGACGUUGAGACACGAAAGCGUGGGUAGCGAAUGGG
rnacentral:rRNA from 1 species